rnacentral:rRNA from 1 species
GGAAUGUUGUAGAGAUACAGCAGCCGCUUUGCGGUCUGUAUACAGGUGCUGCAUGGCUGUCGUCAGCUCGUGCUGUGAAGUGUUGGGUUAAGUCCCGCUAACGAGCGCAACCCCUAUCAUCUGUUGCCAGCAUUUAAGGUGGGGACUCAGAUGAGACUGCCGGUGACAAACCGGAGGAAGGUGGGGACGACGUCAAGUCAUCAUGGCCCUUAUGUCCUGGGCUACACACGUGCUACAAUGGCCGGUACAGAGUGAAGCGAAACCGCGAGGUGAAGCAAAACGCAGAAAGCCGGUCUCAGUACGGAUUGGAGUCUGAAACUCGACUUCAUGAAGUUGGAAUCGCUAGUAAUCGCGCAUCAGCAUGGCGCGGUGAAUACGUUCCCGGGCCUU